rnacentral:tRNA from 1 species
AUUGAAAUGGCUGAUAAAAAGUGGUAAAUUGUAAAUUUAUUAAUGAGAUGUUUCUCUUUCAAUAUU